CAGACCGAAGCCGUCGCCGCCUGCCGAAGCGGACGAGUCGGACCCAGAGGAGCUUAAGCAGCUGCUGGCGCUCAUUCAACAGCUCGGCGGCCUGGACGCCGUGCAGAAGCUGCUAGACGGGGGCGGGGCUGACGCGGUGGGCCCAGGGCUGCUGUCGGCGAAGGACCGCCAGACGCUGGUUAAGGUUAUCGGUGGUCAGACCACCACCACCGCCCGGCCACGCUACUCUGCGAUCGCUCGCGAGCAGCCCACCGAUGGGACAACGCCCGGACCGUCGUCCGCAGACGAGGCGGAGGCUGAGCCUGAGAACAGCCGCCCCCGACUGUCCCUGUCGCGCCGCCCGCGGCCAGAGGUCACGCAAGACGGACCCGAGGGCACUGGGUCAGAGGCCGUCAGCAACACCCGCCGUCGGCCCCAGUACAGCAGCAUCCAGCGGAACAGGCAACCGCAGACAACGCCAGCUGACGACAGUGGCGAUGUGACGUCAUCCGGCAAGGGGCGGCGGCAGUACGUCACGCUGCGGCGUGGGCGGCCCUCGGCGACGGCUGAUGAGGACGGGCAGACCGCGGACGCUGACUUCGGCGG